CGCUGAGUUUGAUCCUGGCUCAGGAUGAACGCUAGCGGCAGGCCUAACACAUGCAAGUCGAGGGGUAGAGUUCUUCGGAACUUGAGACCGGCGCACGGGUGCGUAACGCGUAUGCAAUCUACCUUAUACAGGGGAAUAGCCCAGAGAAAUUUGGAUUAAUACCUCAUAGUAUGUGAGAAUCGCAUGGUUUUCACAUUAAAGUUCCAACGGUAAAAGAUGAGCAUGCGUCCCAUUAGCUAGAUGGUAAGGUAACGGCUUACCAUGGCAACGAUGGGUAGGGGUCCUGAGAGGGAGAUCCCCCACACUGGUACUGAGACACGGACCAGACUCCUACGGGGAGCAGCAGUGAGGAAUAUUGGACAAUGGGGCGCAAGCCUGAUCCCAGCCAUGCCGCGUGCAGGAUGACGGUCCUAUGGAUUGUAAACUGCUUUUUAGAC
rnacentral:rRNA from 1 species